rnacentral:rRNA from 1 species
GACGAACGCUGGCGGCGUGCUUAACACAUGCAAGUCGAACGGAAAGGCCUUUUCGGAGGUACUCGAGUGGCGCACGGGUGAGUAACACGUGGGUGAUCUGCCCUGCACUCUGGGAUAAGCCUGGGAAACUGGGUCUAAUACCGGAUAGGACCGCACUUUAGUGUGUGUGGUGGAAAGUUGUUUCGGUGUAGGAUGAGCCCGCGGCCUAUCAGCUUGUUGGUGGGGUAAUGGCCUACCAAGGCGGCGACGGGUAGCCGGACUGAGAGGUUGGUCGGCCACAUUGGGAAGGAGAGACGGCCAAGACCCCUCGGGGGGGCAGCAGGGGGGAAUAUUGAAAAAGGGGGGCAAGCCGUAUGGAGCGACGCCGGGGGGGGGAGGAGGGCCUUCGGGUUGUAAACCCCUUUCGCCGGGGAAGAAGGGUUUUGUGACGGUACCUGGAGAAGAAGCACCGGCAAACUACGU